rnacentral:lncRNA from 1 species
GACCCUGGUGAUGUGGAGGACCAGCGCCCCAGGAAGAGGUUUCCUGCCAAGGUGAUGUGGUAUGCUCCUAUAAUACCACAUUUGAAACGUCUGUUCAGAAACAAAGAGCAUGCCAACUUGUUUCGAUGGCACAAAGAAGAUCGUAAGAAAGACGGGAUGUUGAGAGUGCUCACUGAUGGGUCGCAAUGGAGAAAAAUCGAGAGGAAGUGGCCAGAGUUUGCAGAUGACGCAAGGAAAUUAUGGUUUGGUUUAAGUGCAGAUGACCUUAGUCCUUAUGGGGAGCAGAGCAACAAACAUAGCACCUCACCUAUGACUCUAUGUAUCUAUAACUUUCCUCAUUGGUUGUGCAUGAAGCGGAAGUUCAUUAUGAUGAAAUUUCUCAUCCAAGGCUCUAAGCAACCCGGCAACGACAUUGUUGUGUACCUAAGGCCAUUAGUUGAAGAACUUUUACAUUUGUGGCAUAUCAAAGGUGUACAUGUGUGGGAUGAGAACAAACAGGAAGAAUUUGACCUACGAGCAUUGUUGUUUGUAACCAUCAAUGAUUGGUCUGCUAUUAGUAACCUUUUAGGGCACACAAACAAGUGAUAUAAUGCAUGCACACACUGUUUAGAUGAGACUGCAAGUAUAUAUUUGGACAAAUGUAAUAAGAAUGUGUACAUGGGACAUCGUCAAUUUGUUCCGACCAAGCAUGCCUUAAUAAAGAAAGGCAAGCAUUUCAAAGGUGAGUCAUAUCACCGGAAGAAGCAUGUCCCCCGUACAGGUGAUGCUAUAUUUGAGAUGGUAAAGGAUUUAAAUUCAAUCUUUGCAAAUGGUCUUGGCGGACAAUCUGUUCCAAAUGACGAUGACGGACAAAACACCCAUGUGGAAGAAGAAAUCUAUAUUUUGGGACCUACCCUAUUUGAAAGACCUAGAGGUCCGCUCUGCAAUCGACAUGAGACACGUGACGAAGAAUCUUUGCAUGAACCUGCUAGGCUUCUUGGGCAUGUAUGGGAAGAUAAAAUAUACUCCGAAGGCACGGGAGGACCAGCAACAUAUGAAUGAAAAAGACGGCAUGCAUCAAAAGUAGUAUCAAGGUCUUGUCAGCUAUACUCUUACCAAAGGAUGGAAGGAAAUCUUUUUUGAAUGCCUGCUUAGUAUCAAGGUCCCAUAUGGCUUCUCAUCGAAUAUAAUGGGAAUAAUAAAUAUGGAAGAGAAAAAAAUUCCAGAACCUAAAGUCUCAUGGCUGCCACGUGAUUAUGACACAACUGCUUCGAGUUGCAGUGAGGGGGCUUCUACUAGAAAAUGUUCGAUUAUCCAUUGUGAAGCUAUGUGCAUUCCUCAAUGCAAUUUCUCAGAAGGUAGUCGAUCCAGAAAUCCUACCAAGGUUAUAGAAUGAUUUGGUCCAAUGUCUUGCCAGUUUUGAGUUGGUGUUCCCACCAUCCUUCUUCAACAUUAUGAUGCACGUCCUAGUUCACCUAGUCUACGAGAUAGCCAUUUUAGGUCCUGUAUUUCUGCAUAAAAUAUUCCCCUUUGAGAGGUUCAUGGGAGUCUUAAAAAAUAUGUUCGUAACCAUAUUAGGGCAGAAGGAAGCAUCUCCAACGACCAUGAAACACAGGAGGUCGUUCAAUUUUGUGUUGACUUUAUUCCUCACAUUAAGUCGAUUGGUGUUCCUCAAUCAUGACAUGAGGGGAGACUUAGUGAAAAAGGCACGCUAGGACCAAACUCAAUAAUAUGUAGGGACGGGCAUUCAUGGGCGUAAGCACACUACAAAGUUGUAUAAAAUUCUACCUUAGUGGCCCUGUAUAUCAAUGAACACAAGAAUAUUGUACGCUCCCGACAACCGGGCAGUCUGACGACGGGAUUACACGUGCACACAUCUCAUGAGUAACAACACUAUUGGAUAUGACAUGUACUUGUUGGCCAGGACACCAUCUUCGACUAUGUUGAGUUUACAAGGGUACGGGAUAAAUGGGAAUACAUUUUACACAAUUACCCAAGAUAAAAAGAGUACCAACCAAAAUAGUGGUGUCCACUUUGACGCAACGGACAUCAAUAAUGCAAAGGACACAUAUUAUGGUUACAUAGAGGAGAAAAGGGAACUUGGCUAUGGGCGUGAUGAAUUUAAGGUCCCUUUUUUGGUGCAAAUGGGUCAAUCUAACAGAACACGAGGUAUAGGUAGACCCGUAGUACGGAAUGACAAAGUGGAUCUCAACAAUCUUGGGUUAUCACAAGAACCAUUCGUCCUAGCCAAUGAUGUGGCGCAUGGUUUCUAUGUGAAGGACAUGUGUGCCAAACUGAGAAAAAGAAAAUAUAAGGAAGCAAAUACAUCAUACGAUGAGCAAAGCGCCACAUAGUUCUUUCAGGGAAAAGAAACAUAGCGGGAGUGGAGGAAAAGACAAACAUGUGAGAAGAUUAUGAAAAGUUUCACGAAAUUCCUCCCUUCAUAGUGAAGGCUGACCCAAGCAUCCUGCUAAAUGAUGAAGAUUAUCCAUGGUUAUGGCGUAAUAAGCAUGGGACACACACGAAGAAACAGUUUUAUACCCCAAGAUCCCACUCUCGGAUGUCACCGGCUUCACCGCCAUCACUCUCUCUAGUGUGAGUUUCCGUACUUAUAGAUGGAAAGUUCCACUUCGGACAAACCAGGGGGAAUCUUAGCUAGGGCAUUUCGGCAUUUGAAACAUGAUUUUAAAAUAAUAAUUUAUUAAUUUAUGAAUUUUGAAUUAUUCCUGUCCCUUUAGUAUUUUAAUUAUACAGAGGAUUUAAUCAAUGCAAUUAUGUCCAAACAAAAUACGAUUGUCUUUUGAGAAUUCCAGAUAAGUCGUUUGAGGUUGACAGACAUAGGCCAUACACCGUCACCAGUUGGAGAUCUUUAGAGAGGAGCAGAGUAGCUGAGAUAGGGGCAACACUCAUGGGAUCUCCUGCUCGGUUGCUCCCACUAAACUAGUCCUGGUAGAAGUUAAGCGCUAGAGGUAUUGUCAUGUCAGUCAAGUUGGUAGGCCACCUAAAAAGCAAGCUCUAUUAUCGCAAAUUCCGGAAAGGGUUAAAAGGGGAAGUUGAUCAUAUGUUGAGGGAUGAGAAUCAGAUAGUCCUAUAAUAAAAAUCAAUUGGUUUGGCAUAUCUCAUGAACAUCUAGGCACCUUUAUAUUAUCUUACAUGAGGAGUACAAGCCCACAUCAUGAGUAUGUUGGUUUAUACCCAAAUGGCCUUAGAUUCCGGAAGAAAUUUUUUGACAGUAUUGACCACCUUGUGUCAUAUUUUCAAGAACAUAUUGACUAAACACCACCUCAUGCUGGCCCUUUAAUGCGAAAUGUUGCAGAAAUGAUACCUAUGAAAAUUAACUUGAUAGAACUAUUUGUCACUCUUUGGUGAAUAUCUAUAUAAUCAAACAUUGCAUUCAUAUAAGCAUUCACUCUAGCAAGCAUUCUAGCAAUCAAAAUACAAUCAGUGAAUAAACAAAUAAAUAAAACAAUAAAGUUAUUAGGUUAACAAAAAGUAUUUUAUAAUAUUCUUCAAUAGCAAAAAGAUCAACUAGAAAGCUUUUAUAAAACUCUAGUUAUGAUCAAAAUAAUAUAAACUUAAAAUUAUAUAAAAUUUAUCCAAACUAGGCAUGCACAUAGCUUUUAUAAAACACUAGUUAUAGAACUCUAGGAAUGCACAUAGCUUCUUAAAAACUUCAAUAGAAAAUAGAAUUAAAUGAAAAGUAGGCAUGUAUGCAAGUGCUUAAAAGAAAACUAAAACUAAAAUAUCCUAAAAAGGUCUAAAACCAAAAAUAGGAAAAAUGGAUUUAGUCUCGCUUGUGGCUACAACCGGGACUAAAGGCCAACCUUUAUUCCUGGACGGAACCACCAACCGGGACUAAUGCCCUAGGUUUCACGCCCUUUGCGCUGUUGAAAUAUAGCUUUUGUCCCGGUUGGUGGCUCCGACCGGGACUAAAAAGGGAGGCCUUUAGUCCCGGUUGUGGCCACCAACCGGGACUAAAGACUAGGGUAUUUAACCGCGCCUUCUCCCCUCCCCCAAUCUUCCUCUCCAAUCCUUCCCUGACGCCGCGCCAAACCCCCACACCACCACGGCGCUAGGCUGCCGGAGAUCGUCGUCGCCUCCGAGCCGUCCCCGAGCCCGCCUACCGUCGCUGGACCUCCUCUCCCUCCUCCUCGAGCAUUGUCGCCCCCGCUCCUCGUCGCCUUGAGCUCCUUCUCCCAACACCCUCUCCCUGUUGGCCACCAUGGGCUGAAGCUCGUCGGUGCCGUUGUUCCCCUCUCAUCCUAUCCCCCACAUGCCCUCCCUGCGGUCACAGCCGCCCGCGCCGACGCUGACGCCGACGCCGCCCACGCUCAGGCAGCACAAAACCAUACUUCUGCAUUAUAAUUAUGUUUUUCUUGUUUAUGAUAUAUAUAUNNNNNNNNNNNNNGUAAUAAGCAUGGGACACACACGAAGAAACAGUUUUAUACCCCAAGAUCCCACUCUCGGAUGUCACCGGCUUCACCGCCAUCACUCUCUCUAGUGUGAGUUUCCGUACUUAUAGAUGGAAAGUUCCACUUCGGACAAACCAGGGGGAAUCUUAGCUAGGGCAUUUCGGCAUUUGAAACAUGAUUUUAAAAUAAUAAUUUAUUAAUUUAUGAAUUUUGAAUUAUUCCUGUCCCUUUAGUAUUUUAAUUAUACAGAGGAUUUAAUCAAUGCAAUUAUGUCCAAACAAAAUACGAUUGUCUUUUGAGAAUUCCAGAUAAGUCGUUUGAGGUUGACAGACAUAGGCCAUACACCGUCACCAGUUGGAGAUCUUUAGAGAGGAGCAGAGUAGCUGAGAUAGGGGCAACACUCAUGGGAUCUCCUGCUCGGUUGCUCCCACUAAACUAGUCCUGGUAGAAGUUAAGCGCUAGAGGUAUUGUCAUGUCAGUCAAGUUGGUAGGCCACCUAAAAAGCAAGCUCUAUUAUCGCAAAUUCCGGAAAGGGUUAAAAGGGGAAGUUGAUCAUAUGUUGAGGGAUGAGAAUCGGAUAGUCCUAUAAUAAAAAUCAAUUGGUUUGGCAUAUCUCAUGAACAUCUAGGCACCUUUAUAUUAUCUUACAUGAGGAGUACAAGCCCACAUCAUGAGUAUGUUGGUUUAUACCCAAAUGGCCUUAGAUUCCGGAAGAAAUUUUUUGACAGUAUUGACCACCUUGUGUCAUAUUUUCAAGAACAUAUUGACUAAACACCACCUCAUGCUGGCCCUUUAAUGCGAAAUGUUGCAGAAAUGAUACCUAUGAAAAUUAACUUGAUAGAACUAUUUGUCACUCUUUGGUGAAUAUCUAUAUAAUCAAACAUUGCAUUCAUAUAAGCAUUCACUCUAGCAAGCAUUCUAGCAAUCAAAAUACAAUCAGUGAAUAAACAAAUAAAUAAAACAAUAAAGUUAUUAGGUUAACAAAAAGUAUUUUAUAAUAUUCUUCAAUAGCAAAAAGAUCAACUAGAAAGCUUUUAUAAAACUCUAGUUAUGAUCAAAAUAAUAUAAACUUAAAAUUAUAUAAAAUUUAUCCAAACUAGGCAUGCACAUAGCUUUUAUAAAACACUAGUUAUAGAACUCUAGGAAUGCACAUAGCUUCUUAAAAACUUCAAUAGAAAAUAGAAUUAAAUGAAAAGUAGGCAUGUAUGCAAGUGCUUAAAAGAAAACUAAAACUAAAAUAUCCUAAAAAGGUCUAAAACCAAAAAUAGGAAAAAUGGAUUUAGUCUCGCUUGUGGCUACAACCGGGACUAAAGGCCAACCUUUAUUCCUGGACGGAACCACCAACCGGGACUAAUGCCCUAGGUUUCACGCCCUUUGCGCUGUUGAAAUAUAGCUUUUGUCCCGGUUGGUGGCUCCGACCGGGACUAAAAAGGGAGGCCUUUAGUCCCGGUUGUGGCCACCAACCGGGACUAAAGACUAGGGUAUUUAACCGCGCCUUCUCCCCUCCCCCAAUCUUCCUCUCCAAUCCUUCCCUGACGCCGCGCCAAACCCCCACACCACCACGGCGCUAGGCUGCCGGAGAUCGUCGUCGCCUCCGAGCCGUCCCCGAGCCCGCCUACCGUCGCUGGACCUCCUCUCCCUCCUCCUCGAGCAUUGUCGCCCCCGCUCCUCGUCGCCUUGAGCUCCUUCUCCCAACACCCUCUCCCUGUUGGCCACCAUGGGCUGAAGCUCGUCGGUGCCGUUGUUCCCCUCUCAUCCUAUCCCCCACAUGCCCUCCCUGCGGUCACAGCCGCCCGCGCCGACGCUGACGCCGACGCCGCCCACGCUCAGGCAGCACAAAACCAUACUUCUGCAUUAUAAUUAUGUUUUUCUUGUUUAUGAUAUAUAUAUGAUGCACUGAUGUGAAGUUUGGUUCUUGAAUUAGGAUGCCUCUUGGUACUCGUGUUUUGUUGUGCGAACAUGUGUAUAUGUAAAGUAUAUGCAAUAUAUCAUAUGUGAUGCCUCAUUAUAUACUUAUUGUUUCGAUUUUUCAUGCUUUAAGAGAAACGCUAAAUAAGGUUUAACUCCGUUAUAGCCUUCCAUACCUUGGUCAAGUCGCCCCUAAAUGGCAUAGCCCGGUAUUUAAAACAUUGGUUUUGCAUGUCAAAAGAACUAGAGUUUAGUGGGAUCACCUAUUUAGAUAUACUAGAUGGUAACCUGCACAUUGUUGCAGAAUUGUUUUGCCAUACAUUUCGAUGCGAUUUGAUUAUUUGUAGUUGUAAAAUGUCUAGCAUAAUAGAAUGCAAAUUCUCAUGCAUGUUUUAGUUAAAAAAAAUCAAAAUUCAAACUUUUUAAUUUAANGCACCCUCAUCGUCGACUCGGUGGAGACAACCAGUUUGAGAGGCGCCAUGUUCGGGACUCGGCUCCGCUGGGAUAGCAUUGGAAGGUGCUACCUUUCGGGGCGCGCGGCUUGGUUUGGAAUCAGGGUCUCGUUGUGGACCCGGAGCUUAUUUGAGGGCAGUCGCGUGGACCACUGUCGGUGCAGAGGGAGCGGCGCACCUGAUGAGGUGGUACGUCGCCGUGUCAUAGAGGAGGACGAGCACGUCCGUCGCUACAUGGUUGCGUUGGAUGUGAGGUUCUUCAAUACCUGGUAGAAUCUUCACGGAUCUCACCCGAGCUAUGAUCCUGUGAUGGUUUCUUUUCUUUGGUUGUCCACCGUCCGUGGCUCACGAACCGUGAGUCAACUGGAUUAUUCGAUAAUAUUCAAGAUGUAUUAGUGAUAUUAUAUAAUAAUAUUUGAUAUGUAUUAGUGAUAAUGUUCGAUAAUAUUCGAUGAUGAAUUAACUAGAUUAUUCGGUAUAACUCGAGUUGUAUUAGUGAUAUUAUAUGAUCAUAUUCGAUAUGUAUUAGUGAUAAUAUUAGAUGAUGCAUUAACUGUAUUUUUUGAGAUGUAUUAGUGAUAUUAUAUGAUAAUGUUAUAUGAAGAGUCCCCGAUGAUCGCCGGUGAUAUUUUAUGAUGAUCCUGCUAAAAAAUUAAUCCUCCUCACCAUCCCUCGCCCCUCAGAUCGAACCUUGCCGACGACUGACUACUAUUAUUCAGUUUUUGCAUUAAAUACUAAAAUGUUAAUCCUAAAAUCAAUGAGCAUUAAGGAAAAAAUUGCCACCGAUUUUUAAUCUUAGAAUCAUGAACACAGGAAAUAUCGUCGUCCGACGGCGAUAGGAUCGCUAAGUGUCAUUUUUGCUCGGAUGACAAAGAUAUAUCUAACCGUUAUCUUCACCUAGACAACGGUACGUCAUUCACCGUCAAGCUACACGAUGACUUUGAGAUUUUUACGAUAUGUAAAGACGACAUGUAGUUUUUAUUAAUUUUCUUUUGUACAAUUCGACUGGUGCAUCUUCUGCCAUGCAAGAUUUGUUGACUUGGACAAGUUUCAUUUCAAAGAGAAGGAAGUACAGAGCCUAAGAUAGCUCACCUAAGAACAGAGCAUUUCACUUUUGUUUUUAAGGUAAAAAAUGAAGAAGAUCAUACAUAUUUUGGUUGUUCUAAUUGAAGAGCAUUUUGCAAGGCGUAUGGGUUGGAUGAGGACAUGAACAUUAUCUUCGAUCUUGGUAAUGAUGAUGUUCGUGAUAAUAAUAUAUAAAUAUGGGUGCAUGCCGAGGAUGAUUUGAUUCCAGUUGUACCUUCAGGUGCGUUUGUCAACAGAUUUGUUAGGAAAUUUAUAUUGAUUAUUAAAAAGUAUCUGGUACUCAUCCCGACUAAAUUUCUUCAUUUUCAGUUAUUAACUUAUUUUCCUACUACAAAAACUACACGAUGGAUAAUAGAUCAGACCUACUAUAGUUAUUGCUCCGAGCUUACUUGAUUGGAAAAAAUCAUCUCAUCUCAUUUAUUCAUGAUGUUGAGUAUCAUGCUAAAUAUAACAUGACUCACAACAUUUAUCAUGGCUAUGUGCCACUAGUGCACGAGUUGAAUCAUUAUAAUAUCACUUCAUACAACUUUGUAAGAAUUUUUUUACCAUUGCAUCGCUGGUCCAUCUUUUUCAUACAAUGUUCUUAAGCAAAACUACUCUAGUUAACUAUGUUAUUAUUACUUAUAUUCUUCAACAUGUACUCGUGCCAGAGACCGUGUCUAAAUGGAUGUUUACCAUCGGUGAUUUGCAUAUAGUUAGCUUACGCCCAAUGUUGAUAAGUUAUCCUCGUAAAUACAAAAUGUCUCAUAGUGAAGAAACCCUGAAAAUCGAAGGAUGGAGCAAGGCAAUAAAAGCAUCCACUCAACCACUUGGACACAAUAUCUUGAUUGUUGGAGAUAGAUUGAUCAAGCCACAAGUUGAAGAUAGGUUGAUAUAUAUUCUUCAAUAUGGAGAUGCAUGAGUUUACCUUUUUAUGUUAUUUUACCUAGGAGGGAGCAGUAGUUAGUGUUUUUAACUUGUGAUAACUUGAUCACUUGCUAGUAUGAUAACAACCAGAAUGAUGAGCGGUUCACCUUCUUAUGCUAUUUUACCUAGAAUGAUAAAAAGUUGAUUAAGAUAAUGAUGAGUUGUUAUAUGACAUAUACUAGUACAAAUUAGAUGGAUGCAAUAGACCAAGUUGAAUUAGAGGAAAAUACGAUGUUACGACGCCACAUCGUAUUUUCUUCUAAUUCAACUUGGUCUAUUGUAUCCAUCUAAUUUGUACUGAUGUUGGAUGUUGUUCUUUCAUGAUUUAUACUGAUAGUGUAUAAAUAUAUGUAACGCGUUAAUCGACCCACACGUUUAUGGAUAAACCCCCANGGAGAAUUACCAGCUAGCACACACGGAGAGAUGAUAGCUCGGUGAUUUGCGUUUGAUCUAGCUCGUUACUGCUCAAAAACUGUCGAGAAUGCGAUCCAUUUUAUACUCGCGCGGCCUGAUUUGGCGACGCGUACCACGCCCGCGUGAACCAUGCGCGUCGGUUUAGAUUCUUUUUCAAUAUAAUUUAAUAAUUUGGCGAUCAGGUUCGAUCCGUAUGCUCUCUUCCAAAAGAUCGAAAGGUUAGAUUCGUUCUUUAAAUAUUUGACGGUUAGCAUGGGUGCAGUGUGUCACGGGACCUGAUCCAUACGUGCUUUCCGGUUUUCGAAUUUGUCUCCCGCCCACUCACAACAAUAUUUUAGGUCCCUAUUUUUUUGUCUUCGCACACUCACAACAAUAUUUAUGUCGAUAUUUUCUUUGUUUAUGAAUUUUGUUUCCAUCGCCAUUUCUAAGAGCAACUCUAGCAGACACCGUAUAAAUGGUCAAAUCCGUAAUUUUUUUACGUUUUACAGUUUUGAUCGACAAAAGUGUUUAAAACAAAACCGUAAAAAUGGUUCAACCCGUAAUUUUUUUAAGGAACACUCAAAAUCCACACCCGAAAUCCUUAUAUUUGAAGGUUAGAACGUCGAACCGAGGAGGUCCGUAUACCGGUCAAACCUCGUCGGAGCAAACACGUCAACGCGGAGUUUGCCAGAAUCCACCCUAAACUCGCUGGAAUCCAUUACUGCACACCAAAAAAGGUCGUUGGACGCCGAAAUCGAUCGCCGCUGGUUCGAAUCUCACGAGCUCGACCUCGUCGUAGCCUCCCAUGACCUCAGCCUGGUUGCCGAAAUCCCCCCGACACGGCCGGCAAAGGGACAUGGCUUGGCCAGCACGGCUGGGAGCGGAGCAGGGCAUAGCCGACGGGCGACGGGGCACGGCCAGCGAGGCUGGGUGCGGUCGACAUGGUCAUGGGGCGCGACCGACGGGCUUGAACGCGGCCAGCAUGGCCGGCGCAAUCAGCUAGGAGAAGGGGCGGCGACGGCCGGACUGGAGGAAGAAGCUUUUUGUCCAAGUUUUACAAAAAAAUUACAUUAUUUGUUCGUCCAUUGCUAAAAUUGACCCUUAAAUGCCUUUUUCGACCCUUAUCCCAGUUUUACAAUUUGCGAUUUUAAGGGGUCUGCUAGAGGUGCUCUAACAUUUUUUGCUAUCUCCCGAUGCCGCCCCACACCCCCACCCUUCCCUACCCCUAACAUUCAAUGCGUGGCAACCUAAAUUGUUACGUUCAUAUCUCACCUCCCGCCAUCUUAACACUCCGGUAACCAAUCAUGCUAUACUGCUACACACCACCAGUCGACUCUUGGGUUCUUAUUGAGCCCUUUAUUCAUCAUUCAUACCACGGAGUGAUCUUGGCAUGUUGUCAUGACGCCAUCGUCCAAAACUGGAGAAGGAAACAACUUUGCCUCGCUGGAAGGAGACGGACCCUUCCUCACCUUCAAGUGGAGUUCGGGGAUAUAUAUUCUUCGCUGCUUCGCACAGGACCAGUUUGUCGUCGGCUGCCAUGAUCUUGUAUGGUGCUUGGGCCGCUACUGCCUUGACCAUCUCAAAUAUAACUGCCCAUUAUGCCAGCUAGCUGGUCAAGCUCCUCAUUACAACUCCCGCCCAUCUUCAUGUCGAUUGCAGGACAUGCUUUCCUGCCAAGUGCCUUGCCCCUGCAGUCGCUUGCCUCCAACCCCUCAACAUCGAAAACAAACACACAUGGGCUUCAGUUGUUGUUCAUCCCACCGUGCCUGUGGAGGCUUCUAUGACCGAUCGCGACAUGGCUACUGCUGUUUUGGGGUUGUUGCAAGCUCUCCUUGCAGCACGGGUGGGGGCUCUAAGCAUUUAGUUGCAGGUUGUAUUUGCAUCUCGUUGAACGAUAUUGAUGAGCCCCUUUCACGACAUGGUGGUUGCUAUGCAGGGUUGGACAACUUAGGUUGCAUUCCUUUUGGGGCGAUUAGAGGACGCUGAUGGAAAGUUUGCCUUCGUGAAUUACUCGGUGUUGUUGGCUAUCUCCCCCUCUCGUGUGAGCAUGAGGAAUCUGUGCAUCUUCUCCUUGCGGGUGGUAAGGAUAUCACUUAGGUCGGUGUGGACGGUAGGGCCUUUGAGCUACUCACUACUAGGGAAAAUCCUAUAGGCACAUAGGUAACCGUAGCGCAAGGUAAAUGGGCCACGCCAGAACCCAACCCUACAGGUACAACUUAGUAGUAGAGUAGGUAGGCAUACCUUUGUACUAGCUAAGGUGGCAUAGUCUUAAGGAUAAUUAUCCUGUUUUGGAUCUUGUCUUACCUGAGAUGAUGACAUUGUGGCUCCAAGCAAUGGCACGGAGCUAACAUAGACGACUUCGCCUAUUAGAUAAGUUCGGGAGGUGUCCACAUUGGUUUCCUCUCCAAAGUUGAUAAUGCCAGAUGACCCCUCGCAUUCUAAUGUCUUCCGAGGCCAACGAGACUCUAGAGGACAUUGGCGAGCACAAGACCCAACAUCGUCUAUCUUGUUCGAUGAGUUCUUGAGCAGCUUCAAUUGCACUCUGAUGCACCUUGUUCCUUGGUCGAUGGACCGGUUCAUGUGUAUAUUGAAGGGGGUUCUAAAUGUGUCUAGAGGCGUAAUGGAUGUGCGGAUAAGAAGAACAAAUAUUGCAACAUCCGGACUUCCAAGCGCGCUAAAUUUAGGUUGGUUGAAGCUUUUGCUGAUUUUCCUAAGGGCAUGAGCUCAAAGAAAGUCACCGGGGAGGAUGUGCAAGAAAAGAUGAAAUCUUAUCUACAGAUGUACAACAAACCGCUCACACCAAUAGUGAACCAGCCAAUUCGUCCUUGAUAGAGGUUAAUGUUUGAUUAAUUUUUCAUAAGGUUUAGCGCAAGUGUGGUCUUGAGGUUGCGGAGCUUGACUUGAUUGGGUAUGCUGUGUUUUUUAUUGUCUUGGGCCUACGCACGCUUGUACUCGGUUCGGGUGAUGUUCCUUAAUUGCUAAUCAGGUGUAUGUGGUUUUCAUUAGCUUUUCUUAAUUAACCAUUUCCUUUUUGUGGUUUUUGGGUCUGACUUCCUUCAUUGGCUGGCCAAUUCUUCUUCUUCUUCCUAACGCAAUGUUAGAGCUCCCCACCAAUUGACGAGUUUCCUAAAAAGAACUGUACCUCGGUACAAGGUUUUUGUUGAGUUGACGAAAAAGACGGAGGCAAUACUUUGUUACUCCUUCCUCCUCAUCUCUUUCCCCUUCUUAAUUUCUGCACUCUUUGUUGUUUUGUUCCCCUACCGGAGUGGCACAAAAGGUGUCACACCCUAAGACUAGUCAUAGUGAAAGUAACAUAAUCAAUAACAUACAUGCUACAUAAGCAAAAAAGAUGAUGUGACAAGCAAUUAAAAAAAAGAGAGAUAAAUAAAUUAACAUACUAUGUUACCAUCACAUAACGGUUCCUAAUAACAGAUGAGUCUAUAAAAUAAUAAAUAAAAAUGUCUAUGUUACUAUAACUAUGACACUAUCCACUAUAAAGGUAAUAACAUAACCUAGUAACAUAUGCAUGCUACUAUAUUCUAAAUUACUCUUCACUAUGACUAGCCUAAGGCUGGCCAUAAUGGUGGUAUCAUAGCUCAUAUCAUACCCUCGGAAAUAGCAAACAGGAUGAUGUGACAGAGAAUUAAAGAAAAGAGAAAGGGUUAGAGUAGUAACAUGGAUAGAUAUUGUAUCAUGUUAAAUAUUAUGCUAUUUUAUGUUAUGCAUAAUAAUAAAUAAGAUCAUAUAUGAUAUUAUGCAGUUUAAAGGUAGUAUCAUACACAUGUAUCAUAUGCAUGAUGCUACUACAUUAUACUUUUCAUUACAAAGGCUUUUUCAAUGCAUCGUCUUUUAACGCGUUAUCAUAGGAGGUAUAAAAACUUAAGAGACGACCACAAUGCAUUGUUUCUUUUUUGUUGUGUCAAAAUGUAAUGAUCGGGGCUGAUGCAUACAUGCGAUUCGUCCAGUAUUGUUUUGCCUAAAGCUACAACCAACAUUUUCUCCUUCAUUAACUACGAUGCAACAUUAGUAAAUCAACGAACAUUUGGUAGGAACUUCUAUUUUUUCCAUCAGUACACACGGGCCGAGCACGGCGGUACAUAUACCUUGUAUUUCAUCAGUACAGUGAACACGAUUUUUUCGUCACACAGACUUAUUACGUCACCACACACAUCAUUACCGGCUGAAACGAAAGCAUAUCACACACCAUGCGUAGCUCUUAUUUAGGUAGUACGGAGAGCAUGGUUAAUGAUCAACUAAGGCAUGUCAUGGAGGCGCGCACGCACGUAGGCACCUGCCGCGCCCACUUCACCUGAUCCAGCUGCUGCCGUGCUUGCCGCCAUGGUACUUCCCGCCGUGCUUGCCGCCGUGGUACUUCCCGCCGUGGUGGUGCCCGCCGCCAUGCCCGGUGUGGUACGAUCCCAUGUGACCUGCACCCACGAAUGAGCACGUUUUAUGUGUCCCGUACGUCUCAAAUUUGACAGUGGAUGCAUGCAGGUGCAAGAUAUACUAUACUCCGGCUAGUUAAUUACCCUGGUGAGCCCCGUGAGAGGGGUAGGCGGCCGGCGCGUAGCCGUGCGCCUGGUAGCCGCCGUGCGGAGGGUAGGCGCCGGCGGCAGGAGGGUACCCGAGCUGCGCGUGACCGCCGCCGUAUCCGUGCUGCUGCACGUGUCCUCCGUACCCGUGCUCGUGGCCAUGACCGUGCUGUGCAUGUCCGCCGCCGUACCCGUGCUCGUAGCCGCCGUGCCCGUGCUGCGUAUGUCCGCCGUACCCGUGCUCGUAGCUCUGUGCAUGGCUGCCAUAUCCCUGCUGGUAGCCCUGUACAUGGCCACCGCCGUAGCCGUGCCCCUGGCCGUACGAUGAUCCGUAGCCGUGGCCUUUCCCGCCGCCGACGAGGCCGGACACGAAGCCCUUCACGCCGCCGUUGUGGCCGCCGUGCAUGUCGUGGCCUCCACCCAUGCUUCCA